UGCUAAUGGGUGUGUUUUAGUGCUCUGAAGUUAAUUUUUAAUGGUUGGUGAGUACCUUCAGACAAUAGGAUUGGACUAGAUGAAGCAGAAUUAAUUAUACAGCCUUCCACUAGUCACUAAAGAUUAUUAGUAUAUAUUAUGCAUUCUAUGUCAUAAUUGUUUCUUGCUUUAGUUUGAUGGCAUUACUUGAGAAAGAUUAAAUCUGUAUUGUUACUACACUUUACAAAAUUCCCCCUUUUUUUUCCAGCUAGGUUUUCUGUUAUCUUUCUGUAAAUCACAUAGCUUGAUAUCAGAGAUAUUAAAAAUAAGAUUGCUGGAACACUAUCUUUUUUAGUGUUCUUUCUUAUUCCCAGUUAUAACUUAGAGUAGAAAGACAUUCCAGAAGCAAACAUUUGACUGGUUUUCUCGCUCUGCCUCAGUCCCUAAUCCCUGCACGAUCUGUUCCUUCGGGGAAGCUCAUCUUAGUCACUCUUUCUGUAGGUUGCCUGAGCAUUCAUCGAACUUAUACUUGGUGAUUUUCAACUACAUUUCUGCAGCAAAAGAAUCUCCCUCAGAUAUCCCUUUUUAGGAAAGAUUGGAAUCAAUAUGACUGUGUAAGAAAAAGUUGGCUUUUUUCCAGUCACUUAGUUUUUCUUGUUUACACCAACGAUUAACUUACAAGCUGUCCAAAUGCAUAGAAUAGAACAAGGAUUUUUGCUACAUCGGAGCCAAGGAGAGCACUAAGAGAUCAUGAAAUACAUUUAUUGAACACAAUGUUAUAAACUUUGCAUUCACUCAAGGGUUGAUAUGCUAGAGAAUGGCAUCCAUGGUGGGUCAGAGCAGGUGACAUCCUUGCUGACAAACAAAGGUAACCUAGUCUUGUCCCAGGCAUACUGGAAAGAGGAAAGUUAAAAAUUCCACGCACAAAUCACCAUCUGUAAUUAUUGCAAAGAUAGGACAACUUCUCACUUGUGAAUUCUAUACUCACAAGUUUUCAUGCUCUUUAAAUUUAUUUGUGAUCCCAAUGCAGUUCUCACAGGACCUUGACAGCUAUUUACAGGCGCACCCAGAGUGGGGAGAUCUGAUUUACAGGAGCACAGGGUCACAGCCGAGGUCUAGCAGAGGGAUGGGCUGUCUUUUUCCCCUGCUGUGCUAUAAACAAGUGUCCUUGUGGUUUAAUUAGUGCUGUGUUUUUCAUAUUUUUGUGUCUUUUCCUGGUGAUUUUGCUGUUUAAAAAAUACCUCAAGCAUGACGCUGAGCGCUGCCUUGUGUUCCUAAGCCCAAGAGGACAGCCGAGUGCCUCACAGAGCAAAACUGCUAAAUCAAGUCCGUCCAGGCAUGAGUCACAGUGUUGCUGGAGAGUGCAGAGUUGACAGUACUCGUCAUUUUUCCUUGAUCUUUUCCUAUGGCUGAAAAAUUCAGGAAAAUUUUACUGGUCACCUGCUAAGGUACCCGGCAGCGGCAGAGGAGAGGCACUGUUUCUCAUAGAGACCUCAGAGCGAUGAGUCCACUGCGGAACGCGGUCUCUGCUCUUUCCUCGGAUACAGAGAAGGAACAAAAGGACUCCCACAGAAGAGGUUGCAGGAGACCAAGAAGAGGGCAUAGUGGGUCCAUAUCUUUGCCAUAGCAAGAACGACACCAGUUAAGAGGUCAGUAACUCUGAAGUUCAGUAACAUAGGCCCAGCAAGCCAUCGUCAGUAAGCCACAAGGCUUCAUACGAAUUAUGCAAGAUUACCCAGGACAUGUAACACUGUUUUUGUGAUUUUACAAAUCAAGCAAUGGAAGCAGAGUCUGAAGAGCUUGCUGGACGUCUCAGUGCCGUGAAUGUCUCCCUGUGCUGGAGGCUAGCCUCAUCCUCCCGCAGUGUCUGUUCCCCCUGGAAAUGAGUCCCUUCCAUGGGGGACCAGUCAAGGGUGUGGUCUGCCAUGGAAACCUGCAGAAACCCUGGUACGAUGUGUGAGAGAUACUUCACCACUGCAGACACCUCCUGCGGUUGGUUCUUUUGCUCGGAGACCCACUUGUUGAUUGCUUUUAACCGAGGUUUUCUAAAUUUCUCUGAGUUCCUUUUUAAGAAGACAAAUGAGGUGUUAGUGAAAACGUGUAUAUUUAAAUAAAAAAGUUAUUACAGUAAAA